rnacentral:rRNA from 1 species
CAGCGCUGAAGGUGUACCGUAAGGAGCACUGGAGCGGCUACUAGUGAGGAUGCAUGGCAUAAGUAUACGAUAAAGGGAGUGAGAAUCUCCCUCGCCGAAAGCACAAGGUUUCCAGGGUAAAGCUCGUCUUCCCUGGGUUAGCCGGCCCCUAAGUCGAGGCUGAAAAGCGUAGACGAUGGAAAACAGGUUAAAUAUUCCUGUGCCACCUAAAAUUUAUACAAUGGGAUGACGGAGCUUUUAAUGCACGCGAACGAUCGGAAAUGUUCGUUGACGCUGUGAGGUUGGUAAGUAGGUAAAUCCGCUUACGUAAUAUCUGG